rnacentral:tRNA from 1 species
GCCGGGAUGGUGGAAUUGGUAGACACGCAAGACUUAAAAUCUUGUGGCCCUUGGGCCGUGCGGGUUCAAGUCCCGCUCCUGGUACAA